rnacentral:misc_RNA from 1 species
UUUCCGUAGGUGAACCUGCGGAAGGAUCAUUAAUGAGUAAGGGACUCUUUAGCCCUACCUCUCAACCCUUUGUCUGCUCGAGCACGAUUGCCUCCGCACGCCCGUAUCCACCCCCUGCGUGAAGCACCGCGACAGUCCCCCUGUCCCGUGUUCGGCGGGGGCCUUACGUUUUCACUCAAAAUUAAUCGGCCGUGUAUAAUGUAUUAUUUGUUUAUUCAAACACAAACUCUAAACAACUGUCAACUUCGGUUCUCUUGGCUCUAACAACGAUGAAGAACG